GUCCCCAUUACUCUCCUCACCCCCUUUAGGUUUCAUGUCUCCAGCACCAUCUCCCCUUCCAUGGCACCCGGGAACUUCUCCUGAGCUACGCUGGAGGCCCCAGGAAUCAGCCAAAGCCUAAGGACUCAAACACUGACCCGCAGAAGCGUUCAUUUCCUCCUGACACUGGUUCCAAGUCACCUUCUCCAUCAAAUAACAGAGCGGUUCCCUCUAGACCAAUUAGCUAUCUGCAGUUGCUGCUGGCUUCUUCCUCUGAAGGCUGCUGACCUGCCAGGCUGAGGAUGCUGCCUACCACGGCAUCAGGAUUCAGGAGAGAAGAGGCAGCGCAGUGUGAGGGCUGCCUCCUGGGGUCCCAGGGCCGGUCCAUACCUCCAGGGCCCUGGAGCCCUGCAAGGCUAAAGAGGAGAGGUGACUUCAUUUGAGGAUGGCCUCAUUCUUGAGCCCUAACUCACACAGCGGUGAGGCUGCCUUCUGUGUCCCUCCUGCACAUCCAUACCCUAUCUUAAAUAGGAAGGUAGAAAAGAAAAAAAGAUGCUAAGGACACAGCUCCUAACUUAGGCAGAGUUGAGAAACAGAGGCCUCCUGGGUAGCUAAAAAUGCCUUGAAGGCAAGAGACCCAAGUCCAUUGGUGAAGAGGGUCUUAUCUACCUGCACUAAGAGGCUGGGCCGAGGCCCCUCUUAAAUUUUUCAACAUCAGA